rnacentral:rRNA from 1 species
UUAAACUGAAGAGUUUGAUCAUGGCUCAGAUUGAACGCUGGCGGCAGGCCUAACACAUGCAAGUCGAGCGGUAACAGAUCUAGCUUGCUAGAUGCUGACGAGCGGCGGACGGGUGAGUAAC